rnacentral:rRNA from 1 species
UACGUAGGGUGCAAGCGUUAAUCGGAAUUACUGGGCGUAAAGCGUGCGCAGGCGGAUUUCCAAGUCAGGAGUGAAAUCCCAGGGCUCAACCCUGGAAUUGCUCUUGAAACUGGAUGUCUUGAGUCUCGGAGAGGUUGGCGGAAUUCCCAGUGUAGCAGUGAAAUGCGUAGAUAUUGGGAGGAACACCAGUGGCGUAAGCGGCCAACUGGACGAGUACUGACGCUCAUGCACGAAAGUGUGGGGAUCAAACAGG